UACGGAGGGUGCAAGCGUUAAUCGGAAUUACUGGGCGUAAAGCGCGCGUAGGUGGCUUGAUAAGCCGGUUGUGAAAGCCCCGGGCUCAACCUGGGAACUGCAUCCAAAACUGGCAAGCUAGAGUAUGGCAGAGGGUGGUGGAAUUUCCUGUGUAGCGGUGAAAUGCGUAGAUAUAGGAAGGAACACCAGUGGCGAAGGCGACCACCUGGGCUAAUACUGACACUGAGGUGCGAAAGCGUGGGGAGCAAACAGG
rnacentral:rRNA from 1 species